rnacentral:rRNA from 1 species
AGAUUGAACACUGGCGGCAUGCCUAACACAUGCAAGUCGAACGGGAGUAGCAAUACUCUAGUGGCGGACGGGUGAGGAAUACGUAGGAAUUUGCCCUUAAGUGGGGGAUAACCCGGGGAAACCCGGAUUAAUACCGCAUGACCUCGAAAGAGCAAAGUGGGGGAUCGCAAGACCUCACGCUUUUGGAGAAGCCUACGUCGGAUUAGCUAGUUGGUGAGGUAAUGGCUCACCAAGGCGACGAUCCGUAACUGGUCUGAGAGGAUGAUCAGUCACACCGGAACUGAGACACGGUCCGGACUCCUACGGGGAGGCAGCAGUGGGGAAUAUUGGACAAUGGGACGCAAG